UACGUAGGGUCCGAGCGUUGUCCGGAAUUACUGGGCGUAAAGAGCUCGUAGGUGGUUUGUCGCGUUGUUCGUGAAAACUCACAGCUUAACUGUGGGCGUGCGGGCGAUACGGGCAGACUUGAGUACUGCAGGGGAGACUGGAAUUCCUGGUGUAGCGGUGGAAUGCGCAGAUAUCAGGAGGAACACCGGUGGCGAAGGCGGGUCUCUGGGGCAGUAACUGACGCUGAGGAGCGAAAGCGUGGGGAGCGAACAGG
rnacentral:rRNA from 1 species